GAUGCACGCUAGCUACAGGCUUAACACAUGCAAGUCGAAGGACCGGCGCACGGGUGAGUAACACUUAUCCAACCUGCCCUUUACUCGGAGAUAGCAUCUCGAAAGAAAGAUUAAUACCCGAUGUAAAGGAUGGGGAUGCGUUCGAUUAGUUUGUUGGUGAGGUAACGGCUAACCAAGCAUUCGAUGGAUAGGGGUUCUGAGAGGCAGGUCCCCCACAUUGGAGCUGAAAGACGUUCCAAACUCCUACGGGAGGCAGCAGUGAGGAAUAGUGGUCAAUGGGCGUUAGCCUGAACGAGCCAAGUAGCGUGAAGGAUGAAGGCUGAUGGGUCGUAAACUUCUUUUAUAUAAGAAUAUGGAGUAUAUGAAUAAGGAUCUGCUAACUCCGUGCCAGCAGCCGCGGUAAUAC
rnacentral:rRNA from 1 species